GUGAAUCAUCAAAUUUUUGAACGCAUAUUGUACUCUCUUCGGAGAGGAUGACUGUUUGAGUGUCAGCCUAAAAAAAAUCGACAUAGUUGUUGUUAUGCGGUAUGAUUCGUCGGAAAUUGGGUCAUUUUAAUCAUUUGGGUGUAAGCGGGUUAAAAUUUUCUUUUUGAUUCCACGAUGGUUUCUAAGAUUUUAUUUUUUACACGUUUAAGGUAUUGAUUUUUAUUAGAUGUGGCCGCUGCAU
rnacentral:misc_RNA from 1 species